rnacentral:rRNA from 1 species
UACGUAGGGUGCGAGCGUUAAUCGGAAUUACUGGGCGUAAAGCGUGCGCAGGCGGUGAUGUAAGACAGGUGUGAAAUCCCCGGGCUUAACCUGGGAACUGCAUUUGUGACUGCAUCGCUGGAGUGCGGCAGCGGGGGAUGGAAUUCCGCGUGUAGCAGUGAAAUGCGUAGAUAUGCGGAGGAACACCGAUGGCGAAGGCAAUCCCCUGGGCCUGCACUGACGCUCAUGCACGAAAGCGUGGGGAGCAACAGG